GGGCCCGUAGCUCAGUGGUCAGAGCAGGCGGCUCAUAACCGCUUGGUCGCGGGUUCGAUCCCCGCCGGGCCCACAA
rnacentral:tRNA from 1 species